rnacentral:rRNA from 1 species
UACGAAGGGGCGAGCGUUGUUCGGAUUUACUGGGCGUAAAGGCGCGCAGGCGGCUCAUUUUGUCAGGCGUGAAAUCCCUCGGCUUAACCGGGAACUGCGUCUGAUACUGGAUGGCUUGAGUUCGGGAGAGGGAUGCGGAAUUCCAGGUGUAGCGGUGAAAUGCGUAGAUAUCUGGAGGAACACCGGUGCGAAGGCAAUCCCUGGCCUGCACUGACGCUCAUGCACGAAGCGUG